UGGCGUGGGACAGCAAAACCGCCAUCGCCCACAGCCCAAGAAUCCCCGUAGAAUGGGUUUGUUCACACAAUAGCGUGGGCUGGAACGAAAUACCCUUUCGAUGCCCCCAAUAAUAUUUCCAUCCUUCAAAAUGUUUUCGAGACGAACCAUUUAUUUAUUAGUGCUGAUGUUUUUGUCAGGGAUGAUUAAACUUCCCGCAUUCUGUCAGCAGGCUAUGACUAUCUGCUGUGGGUACACUCUGCCCUGGGCGGGGAUUGUUUCCUCUCUGAGCUCCUGAGUUGGGCCUCCCACGCGUUAUUCAGCUGUCUUCUUGGUAUGAAUUCAUACGCACGGUAGAGGAGAACACCCGUUAAUGCGCUUCUUCUCGGGAUAAACGAAGGGGCCGCUGAACGGCGAGACACAGAGACGCGCGAUUGAGGGGGGGGGAAACAAUUUUUGCUUAAAAUAUUACUGUGGAUUGAUCAUUCGUUGUUUUUCUACCUGGUAACAAUCCGUGAUUUGAUGCGGGUGACCUCGGUGGAAUGAUUUAUAUUUGAUCUAGCCAUAAUGGUCCUCUCGUUCGGCAAUUGCUGCACAGCAAACAACCAUGCUCCAUUGCAACGUGCAGCAUGGUCGCUUGAUAUUUGGCCCCCAAAACCUGUGAGGAGCUAAAUCCAAUAUUGCAUAGUUCCCCACCAUUUGUUAGAUAUGAAGAAAUGAUCAUAAAUGAAGAGAGGGGAAAGGAGUAGUAGUUCGACAUCGCCGC
rnacentral:sRNA from 1 species